rnacentral:tRNA from 1 species
UUAAUUGAAGCCAAAAAGAGGCACUUCACUGUUAAUGAAAUCAUUGAAAAUUUAUUUUCCAAUUAAA